rnacentral:rRNA from 1 species
UACGGAAGGCAGCAGUGGGGAAUAUUGCACAAUGGGCGCAAGCCUGAUGCAGCCAUGCCGCGUGUAUGAAAAAGGCCUUCGGGUUGUAAAGUACUUUCAGUCGUGAGGAAGGUGUUAAGGUUAAUAACCUUAGCAAUUGACGUUAGCGACAGAAGAAGCACCGGCUAACUCCGUGCCAGCAGCCGCGGUAAUACGGAGGGUGCGAGCGUUAAUCGGAAUUACUGGGCGUAAAGGGCACGCAGGCGGUUAAUUAAGUUGGAUGUGAAAUCCCCGGGCUUAACCUGGGAAUGGCAUUCAAGACUGGUUAGCUAGAGUCUUGUAGAGGGGGUAGAAUUCCAUGUGUAGCGGUGAAAUGCGUAGAGAUGUGGAGGAAUACCGGUGGCGAAGGCGGCCCCUGGACAAAGACUGACGCUCAUGUGCGAAAGCGUGAGGAGCAAAC